CCAAAAUAUANNGGGGGGGNCCCCNGCCNNGNGCCUNCCCCCGGGGNGAGUAGCCCCCCCCNCCGCCNCNGGAAAAAAANNGCNGGGCCNNCGCCGUUAAAACCCCCCACUUUNUGAAAAGGUUUGACCUCCGGAUUCAGGUAGGGAAUACCCCNCGGAACCUUAAGCCAUAUCCAAUAAGNCGGAGGGAAAAGAAACCCNACCAGGGGAUUGCCCUAGUAACGGCGAGUGAAAGCGGGCAACAGCUCAAAUUUGAAAUCUGGCCCCUCGGGUUCCGAAUUGUAAUUUGUAGAGGAUGCUUUUGGUGAGGUACCUUCCGAGUUCCCUGGAACGGGACGCCAUAGAGGGUGAGAGCCCCGUCUGGUUGGAUACCGAUCCUCCUGUAAAGCUCCUUCGACGAGUCGAGUAGUUUGGGAAUGCUGCUCUAAAUGGGNNGNNUAUGUCUUUCUAAAGCUAAAUAUUGGCCAGAGNCCGAUAGCGCACAAGUAGAGUGAUCGAAAGAUGAAAAGCACUUUGAAAAGAGAGUUAAAAAGUACGUGAAAUUGUUGAAAGGGAAGCGCUCAUGACCAGACUUGGGCUUGGUUGAUCAUCCAGGGUUCUCCCUGGUGCACUCUUCCAGCCCAGGCCAGCAUCAGUUCGCUGUGGGGGAUAAAGGCUUUGGGAAUGUGGCUCCUCCGGGAGUGUUAUAGCCCAUUGUGUAAUACCCUGUGGUGGACUGAGGUUCGCGCAUCUGCAAGGAUGCUGGCGUAAUGGUCAUCAGCGACCCGUCU
rnacentral:rRNA from 1 species